AGAGUUUGAUCAUGGCUCAGAACGAACGCUGGCGGCAGGCCUAACACAUGCAAGUCGAGCGCUGUAGCAAUACAGAGCGGCGCACGGGUGAGUAACACGUGGGAACGUGCCCUUUGGUUCGGAAUAACUCAGGGAAACUUGAGCUAAUACCGGAUGAGCCCUAACGGGGAAAGAUUUAUCGCCGAAGGAGCGGCCCGCGUUGGAUUAGCUAGUUGGUGGGGUAAAAGCCUACCAAGGCAACGAUCCAUAGCUGGUUUGAGAGGACGACCAGCCACACUGGGACUGAGACACGGCCCAGACUCCUACGGGAGGCAGCAGUGGGGAAUCUUGGACAAUGGGGGAAACCCUGAUCCAGCCAUGCCGCGUGAGUGAUGAAGGCCCUAGGGUUGUAAAACUCUUUCGGCGGGGACGAUAAUGACGGUACCCGCAGAAGAAGCUCCGGCUAA
rnacentral:rRNA from 1 species